UACGUAGGUCCCGAGCGUUGUCCGGAUUUAUUGGGCGUAAAGCGAGUGCAGGUGGUUUAUUAAGUCUGGUGUAAAAAGCAGUGGCUCAACCAUUGUAUGCAUUGGAAACUGGUAGACUUGAGUGCAGGAGAGGAGAGUGGAAUUCCAUGUGUAGCGGUGAAAUGCGUAGAUAUAUGGAGGAACACCGGUGGCGAAAGCGGCUCUCUGGCCUGUAACUGACACUGAGGCUCGAAAGCGUGGGGAGCAAACAGG
rnacentral:rRNA from 1 species